rnacentral:lncRNA from 10 species
AGUUCAUGUGGCUGAGCAGGGUCUGGGAUCCAGAGGGUGGGGGUUAGGGGGAAUCUCACCUUCACACGACCUCCUGCAGUUCAGCUCUAACCUGGGAAAGGAGGCCUUCCCGAGUUGCCCUACUUCACCACCCAGGACCCCAGGAAGUUGUCUCUCCAGCUGCAAGAAACAUCUCUUGCCUGGGUGGCCUAGCCUUUCCCUGCCUUCCCCAGCCCAAAGCAGGAGCCUGCAGCCUAGGGUUAUCUCAAAGGUCUGAUCCUAGUUGGCUGGAGACAGUGGGGCGUGAGAGGGGCUGAAGGGCAGCCUGGCAUCCCAGAAACCUGCUUUACCUUCUCAAUUGUGUUACCACCUUGUUUUGUGGCUUGGACAAGCCCCUUCCCCUCCUAGUUCUGCCACUGUAAAAUACAGGGAUGAUCUAGUUCUCCAUCCUGCUGCUCAGUAUCUCCUCCAGAGCUGAUGGUGAGCUCCAGGGGUCUAGGAGAAGGGCCUGAGAAUGGCACGUCUGAGCCUGUGAUUAUCCCAGCCUCAAGCCCCCAGUGGCAGUCUGUUCCCCCCAUCUCUGCCCCCCCGAGAGCCUCCUGCAAAUCUCCCAAUAUAAUCUCCCAGAAUCAUA